rnacentral:rRNA from 1 species
CUACGGGGUGCUCCAGUCGAGAAUCUUCCGCAAUGGACGAAAGUCUGACGGAGCGACGCCGCGUGCGGGAUGAAGGCCUUCGGGUUGUAAACCGCUGUCAGUGGGGAGGAAAUGCAUCAGGGUUCUCCCUGGUGUUUGACCGAUCCGCAGAGGAAGCGCAGGCUAAGUUCGUGCCAGCAGCCGCGGUAACACGAACUGCGCGAACGUUAUUCGGAAUCACGGAGCUUAAAGAGUUCGUAGGCGGCCUUUCAAGUCGGGUGUGAAAUCCCUCGGCUCAACCGAGGAAUUGCGCCUGAUACUGUUGGGCUUGAGGGGGAUAGGGGUGAGCGGAACUGAUGGUGGAGCGGUGAAAUGCGUUGAUAUCAUCAGGAACACCGGUGGCGAAGGCGGCUCACUGGAUCUCUUCUGACGCUGAGGAACGAAAGCUAGGGGAGCGAACGGGAUUAGAUACCCGAGUAGUC